rnacentral:rRNA from 1 species
ANUUUAACGCUGGCCGGCAGGCCUAACNNAUGCAAGUCGANCGGUAGAAAGUAGCUUGCUACUUUUGAGAGCGGCGGACGGGUGAGUAACGCGUGGGAAUCUACCUGGUAGUGGGGGACAACUUGGGGAAACUCAAGCUAAUACCGCAUACGCCCUACGGGGGAAAGGAGGGGCUCUUAGGACCUUUCGCUAUCAGAUGAGCCUGCGUAGGAUUAGCUAGUUGGUAGGGUAAAGGCCUACCAAGGCGACGAUCCUUAGCUGGUCUGAGAGGAUGAUCAGCCACACUGGGACUGAGACACGGCCCAGACUCCUACGGGAGGCAGCAGUGGGGAAUAUUGGACAAUGGGGGCAACCCUGAUCCAGCCAUGCCGCGUGUGUGAAGAAGGCCUUCGGGUUGUAAAGCACUUUCAGUGGUGAGGAAGGGUGANCAGUUAAUACCUGCUUACAUUGACGUUAGCCACAGAAGAAGCACCGGCUAACUCCGUGCCAGCAGCCGCGGGUAAUA